UACGUAGGGGGCAAGCGUUGUCCGGAUUUAUUGGGCGUAAAGAGCGUGUAGGCGGCCAUACAGGUCAGCUGUGAAAACUCGAGGCUCAACCUCGAGACGUCGGUUGAAACCGUAUGGCUAGAGUCCGGAAGAGGAGAGUGGAAUUCCCGGUGUAGCGGUGAAAUGCGCAGAUAUCGGGAAGAACACCUAUGGCGAAGGCAGCUCUCUGGGACGGUACUGACGCUGAGACGCGAAAGCGUGGGGAGCGAACCGG
rnacentral:rRNA from 1 species